GUUUAGAUUUUGAUGCUGCUUUCCGACAUUCGUGUGCGUGCGAGAAGAGAUCGCAAAACAAGGAUAAAAAAUAAUCUCACAUCGAUAAAAAGAAUCGGAUGAUACAUAUCGAAACCUUUUUGGUUGAAUUGAUGUAUGAUCUGUUAAUUGGAACUAAUUUGGCUAUUGUUGCGAUCCAUCGAACUGCAGCCGCAGAGCCACUGACCUUCGUGAAGGACCAUGUUGAGGUGUUGGACCACGGAAGCCACACGAUGAGGUACAAGGCGAUCGAAGGAGGUCACCUCGGCCGCACGCUCAAGUCGCACGCGUUCGAGGUCAAGUUCGAAGCGGCGGGCGCCGACAGCUGUGUCGUGAAGACCAAGACAGAAUACGAUACGAUCGACGACGCGCCGCUGCCGGAGGACGAGGUGCAGAAGAUGACGGACGUGCCAGUACGGAUGAUGAAGUCGGUGGAAGCCUAUCUGAUAGCCAACCCCGGUGUUUGUGCCUGAGCCCCUGAGCCUCUGAGCCGGUGGGCUUUCGUGUACCGACGUUGGUGCUUCCAGUGUCGUAGUGCUUGUCAUUGGGCGUGGAUCAAUCAAUAAUGAGGUGAUGCAGCAGUGCUGGAAUCAUCACCUUUAGAGUGAGAGAGUGAGAGAGUGAGAGAGAGAUAGGACAUGACAUGUUGAUGCCAUCUCUCUCUUUGUCUGUUCUUUCCAUCUUCUGCAAUGUGGUGUUUUGUGUGGUCGUUGAAGGACAUAUAUCUACAAAUAAGAUGUGAUUUCUUUGGUAUCAUGUAAUCCUUCUUUUUUGGUAUCAUUCUUAGUAGUCUCUUUUAAAGAUUCAAAGACUAGCGUAAUCCAAAUUAAACAUGGAUUUAAUUGAUUUUACUUAAACUAUAUGAUACGUUUAUAAUGUUUGUUCGUAACGAGUCAACCUUCUCGUAAUUUUAUUUACUCUCAUCCAUAAAUAAAUCAGUUACCGAUAAAUGAAUGCAUGAACAAACAAAUCGAUGUCACCUUAGUAAAAUAUACCUUGGGAUUAUAUAACUAAAAUUGAACAAAAUACCUUCUUAGACGACUAAAAUGGAUGCAUUUUGCUGAAAGAUUUUACGAUAAAAAAUUGAAGGUUAAUUCGUCGUCCAUAAAGUUUAAGUACAUAAGUGAUAGGUUCAUCCAUCGUCCAUAAAGUUUAAGUACAUAAGUGAUAAAACUUCAUCCAAUCUUAUGUUUGUUCAAAAUUUAUAUAAUUAAAUUUGAACAAAAUAUCUUACUAAAAUGGAUGCAUUUUGCUUGCUCUGAAAAAAUUUUACGAUAAAAAAUUGAAGGCUAAUCCAUCGUCAAUAAAAUUUAAGUACAUAAGUGAUAACGUAUCUUAGAACUUUCAUCCAAUCUUGUGUCGGUUCAAAAUUAAAUGUUAACAUGACAUGAGAUUUGACGUAAUAGUGAUGUGACCUUAUCUACAAACUCGAUAGAAACAAAUUAAUUCUUCUAUUUUUUAAGAUAAAUACUGGUAAUACGGCAACAUCAAAAAUAUUAUAUCGUACAAUUUGGUUCUUCCUCUUAGUUUCAAACAUGAAGCUCCACAAAGACGGCAAUAAAAUAAAAUUAACGAAGAAAAAUGCAACACGACAUCAACUCAUCGUGAUCUCACUCACCCUAACAAAGAAUAUAAUAAUAAACUACACCGUUGAAUGAACUGUUAAUUCUUUCAUUAAAUGCAUGAAAUACAUUUAUGGUGAAACUUUGUUUCUAACAUACAUACAUACAUACAUACAUACAUACAUACAUAUUUUAAUCUGACUAGCAUAUGCUUGAAGAAUCCGAUCAUUCUCGACUACGGCUGAUGAUGAUAUGGGGCUGCUCAACAAUGAAGACCGCAAAGUCUGCAUGCUUGUGAGCUUUGAAGUCUUCGCUUCAGUCAACAAAUACUAGCUAGUUUGAAUGCUUCCAAGUUUACCAUGACACCCACUUCUUAGAACAUUGAAUUGGGAUGAGGAUGCCAACAAGAGAAGAUGAACCGAUUCAUUGGCAUGGAGCGAUCUUCGCGUCAUCUCAGACCCCCCCCUUUUUCCAAUCUAAUCGAUGAGGUUACCUAAAGUUCAAACUUCAUCUGGAAGCCCGAGAUGACCCGGCACUCCAUCGCCGUCUAUAAAUGGACUCUUCCCCUUCCCUUCACCACCAACCCAUCACAGCCUGCAGAGCUCUCAUCCGGCAAAACACCUUCAUCGACGCCAUGGUUGCCGGGUGCUGCACCGAAGAGCUGACGCUCAAUGUCAGCGUCCACAGAGUAUGGAAGGCGGCCGCCUGCGAGGAUCACAUCCUGCUGCCAAAGAUCAUGCCGCAGUACUUCUCCGGCGCCGAGCUCAUCGGGGAUGGUGAAGCUGGCAGCACCAAGAUCUUCCACUUCGAUCCAGGUUUGGAUUCACAUCACCAAUGCUUCUUUCAGGUAACAGGAAGAUCCGUAAACUAUGCUGAUUUCAACUGGCAAUUCUGUGGAUGAGACUGCAGGUAUGAAGCCACUGAUCUUCGUGAAGAACCAUGUCGAAGUGCUGGAUCAUGGGAGCCACACCUUGAAGUACAAGACCGUCGAGGGAGGCCACCUCGGCCACACGCUCAAGUCGCACACCAUCGAGCACAAGUACGACGCCUUGAGCGCCGAC
rnacentral:lncRNA from 1 species